rnacentral:tRNA from 1 species
UCCCGGAUAGUUCAGUCAGGUAGAACAAUCGGAACUGGUAAUCCAGAAGAUAUGGUCAGCGGUUCGAAUCCGCUUCCGGGAACAA